AUCUGAAGCCCCUGGGUAAUCUUGUCAAGAUGCAGAUUCUGAUUGAGUCUUAGUGGGGACCUGAGAUUCUGCAUUUCUAAUGAGAUGCCAGGUGAUAUCCAA
rnacentral:pre_miRNA from 1 species